rnacentral:lncRNA from 1 species
CAUGGGGUUACUUCUGGCAAAGCUAGCUUGCUUGCUUUCCAUUGGACUUGGAACAUUGAUCUGCUGUUGGUGAUUUAAUCAAAUUGUGUGACGUGGCUCCAUCAGCAGUUUUCUAUUUUUUAAUUACCUUUAUGCGUGAUGUAACCACCAAAACCAUGUGACUCGGACGCCCUCACUCAGUUCAUCUGGACUCUAAAAAGCGCCCUUUUCUAUUCGACUUUCC